rnacentral:rRNA from 1 species
GAUGAACGCUGGCGGCGUGCCUAAUACAUGCAAGUCGAGCGAACAGACGAGGAGCUUGCUCCUCUGACGUUAGCGGCGGACGGGGGAGUAACACGUGGAUAACCUACCUAUAAGACUGGGAUAACUUCGGGAAACCGGAGCUAAUACCGGAUAAUAUAUUGAACCGCAUGGUUCAAUAGUGAAAGGCGGUUUUGCUGUCACUUAUAGAUGGAUCCGCGCCGCAUUAGCUAGUUGGUAAGGUAACGGCUUACCAAGGCAACGAUGCGUAGCCGACCUGAGAGGGUGAUCGGCCACACUGGAACUGAGACACGGUCCAGACUCCUACGGGAGGCAGCAGUAGGGAAUCUUCCGCAAUGGGCGAAAGCCUGACGGAGCAACGCCGCGUGAGUGAUGAAGGUCUUCGGAUCGUAAAACUCUGUUAUUAGGGAAGAACAAAUGUGUAAGUAACUAUGCACGUCUUGACGGUACCUAAUCAGAAAGCCACGGCUAACUACGUG